rnacentral:rRNA from 1 species
UACGUAGGGGGCGAGCGUUGUCCGGAUUCACUGGGCGUAAAGGACGCGCAGGCGGCCCGAGGGGUCCGUCGUUAAAGCCCGGGGCUUAACUCCGGGUGGUCGGCGGGGACCGGCGGGCUUGGAGGCCGGUAGAGGGAUGCGGAAUUCCCGGUGUAGUGGUGAAAUGCGUAGAGAUCGGGAGGAACACCAGAGGCGAAAGCGGCAUCCUGGGCCGGGCCUGACGCUGAGGCGUGAAAGCGUGGGGAGCGAACCGGAUUAGAAACCCCUUAGUCC